rnacentral:lncRNA from 12 species
AUGCCCUCAGUGCCCGUGCUUUGGGUGCACCUCCAUCCCCUGGGCACCCAGGGACCCGGGUUCUGCCCCAACGAGGUCCUGGUUUCGGGGAGGCAGCUGGCCCUGGGAAAGGACAAAGCGCGGAGUGACGCGUGCAUGUGUCAGAGGAACGUUCCCGUCGUUUCGGGAAGCAUCAAGGAGGAUCGGCCACCUGUGUUUGGGGCGUUCAGACAGACGUCAGCAGGAAGGUGUGCCUGCCCCGGAUCUCGAAGGAGCCAGGCCAGGGGAGAGUGGAGAACGCACUGGGGCUUCCAGGAGACGGACGCCAGGAACUUCUCCGAACCGAGCGUCCGUGAAUCGCAUCUUGUCUGAAUAUUAUCGAGCACGUAGAACUGAAAUGGAAGAAGCCAGCGCGUGGUGCGUAUGACGCUGGAAUGUUUCAUUCCCCGUCAGACGCUGGGGAGCCUAAGGUCCGCAAGGACGCCUCCCCUCCUGCCUCCGGGACUGAGCUCCCGCCGGAUGUCACUGGGUGCCGCCGCCGACAGGUGAGGCUGCUCCUGCUCGGGUACUGGGGUGGGGCCCUUGGCGGGGCAGGCUGGGGCACCCGGAAAGUGCUGAGGCCCCUCAGCUGCGAGUAGCCGCAUGUCCCCACGCAGGGCUUUCCGGACACCCCGUGCCCUCUCCGGUGCAGGCUCUGCAGGGAGCUCUGGCCCCCCGUGUGCCCUGACGGCCGUGGGCAUGCCCACGCCUCCCCGAUGCCCAGUCCCUUUUUUCCUUCCCAGUAAGCAGACAGAGCACCUUCCUGUGACGCCUCAGGGUGAGGGGGCCACCAGACCAGUUGGGGCGGAAGCACUAAGCGUCCCCCCCAGG